rnacentral:tRNA from 2 species
GGAGGGAUGGCAGAGUGGUCUAUUGCGGCGGUCUUGAAAACCGUUGGCCGUGAGGCCCGCAGGUUCGAAUCCUGCUCCCUCCGCCA